rnacentral:tRNA from 1 species
UCCUUGGUGGCUCAGAUGGUAAAGAAUCUGCCUGCAGUACAGGAGACCCAGGUUCAAUUCCUGGGUUAGGAA